rfam:Pyrenophora tritici-repentis Pt-1C-BFP supercont1.1 genomic scaffold, whole genome shotgun sequence.
GGGCCGGUAACUCAGUGGUAGAGUGUAGGACUGCAGCAAACCCACGUGCUCCGUUCCCGAAGCCACCGGUUCGACUCCGGUUCGGCCCU